rnacentral:rRNA from 1 species
AGUGAACGCUGGCGGCGUGCUUAACACAUGCAAGUCGAACGGAUGAAAUAAGCUUGCUUAUUUCGUUAGUGGCGCACGGGUGAGUAAUGUAUAGCUAACCUGCCCUUUAGUGGGGGACAACAGUUGGAAACGACUGCUACUACCCCAUACUCCUUCUUAUCAUAAGGUAAGUCGGGAAAGAUUUAUUGCUAAAGGAUGGGGCUUUAUUGUAUCAGCUUGUUGGUGGGGUAAUGGCCUACCAAGGCGAUGACGCAUACCUGGUCUGAGAGGAUGAUCAGGCACACUGGAACUGAGACACGGUCCAGACUCCUACGGGAGGCAGCAGUGGGGAAUAUUGCACAAUGGGGGAAACCCUGAUGCAGCAACGCCGCGUGGAGGAUGACGCAUUUCGGUGUGUAAACUCCUUUUAUAAGGGAAGAUAAUGACGGUACCUUAUGAAUAAGCACCGGCUAACUCCGUGCCAGCAGCCGCGGUAA